CUGCUGCCACGCUCAGCUCUACACCUCAGUGCCAACUCGAACGUGCACACAAUCAUCACUCCAUAAACAGAGGUUAAGGGUAAAAGAAAGAAGGAAAAUCUUUACUUAGUCAUAAAUGAUGUAGCUUGGUAUUACCAACUUUGUAUUUCCAAGGGUAAAGGAUCAAGUGAAGUUGGCUUGAAAGUCAAUUUCUCUUAAAUCCCAUAAGGACCAGGUAAAAUCUUUAAAGAUAAAAAGUUAAAAGCCAUAUGGCAGUUUUGGCAUCAAAGCAGGAAUCAUACUUUUUUCCCUCUUAGAAAUACAACUUUCAAUGGAAUUGAAGAGCUAGCUGAACGGAUUACAGUAUUAUACUUUGCCAA
rnacentral:lncRNA from 1 species